CCGAUAUAAAUGGGGGGUAAGAACGUUGAACUACCCUAAAAUUACUCGUCAUCGUCUCGCCGGCAAUGGCACGCUUGGCAAAGUACUACAAACUAAACGUGUUGACACUUCUUCCUCCGAUUUGCUUUUAUUUUGAACGUUGCGUGAGCAUAGACAAUGAUCUCUAAAGCUAAAGUGAAGGUUUUGGACAACCAUGGAACAUAAACAUGUAAACUAAAUUUUGUGGCAUGUUCAAAUAAACUACAUAUGAAUAUGGCACAUGUUUGCCUAAACUUUUAUAUUUCAAAUUCUCCUACUAAAUAACAUAUAAUCUCUAUGGCAUUCAGAGUCUAGCCUUGUUUAAAAGCAAUUCAUGUGCCGCGAUUUUGUUUAGUGAUUGCGUUCGUCUUUUUAAUAGUACCAAGGGAACUCAUCGACAUUAAACGCACUGCCAGUAUUCAAUGUCGGAAUACACCAUAAGUGUUCUUAAAGCAGUGUCCAUGGGCUCAAGAUGGAAACAAAUUGCAACUUACUCCUUUAUUGACGGACUCGAAAAGUUGUGUGGACCCCACUUCAAAAGCGCG